CGUAUAAUAAAGAAGAAAAGCCGUAGAAAAGUGUCACCGUCCAUGGAAAGAAACCUGUUGACAUGCUUUCCAGAACUAACCAGAAACGAACACACUUCUCUUCACUUGGCUGUACACGAAAAUCCACUGUCUAUUCUCAACCAUUUACCCUUUCCAUUCCUCUUAAUUACACCUUUUGCCACUCCCUUCCUUCUAUUCGCUUCCAUUAAUGUUUAUUAUCUUUCUCUCUUCCCGCCUCUUGUAAUGUAACAAGAAAAUGUCCUCCGUCCAAUUCCGUUACGCUCUCUCCCCUCUUUGUCCCACGCUUCCGCCUCCUCGCAGGCCAAUAUUUUCUCGCACCUUUACUCCUCGUUUUCUCGGAAAAUUGCGUGUUUUAUCGACCGCGCGGAGGAGGCGAGUUCCUUCAAUCUGCUGCUCCUCAAAGACUGGUUCCCAGCUCCAGCGGGUUUCUGUUCCCGAGGACGAUGAUCGGCCUCCGUUCGAUAUCAAUCUUGCGGUUAUUCUCGCUGGAUUCGCUUUCGAAGCUUACACAACUCCACCUGAAAAUAUAGGCAGGAGGGAAGUUGAUGCUGCUGGUUGCAAGACAGUCUACCUUUCUGAGGAAUUUGUUCAUGAAAUUUAUGAUGGUCAACUCUUUAUAAAGUUGAAAAAAGGGUUCAAUUUUCCUGCUAUGGAUCCCUGGGGAACAAGUGACCCAUAUGUUGUCAUACAGCUGGAUUCUCAGACCGCUAAAAGCGGUAUCAAAUGGGGGACAAAAGAGCCAACAUGGAAUGAGGAGUUUACAUUUAAUAUCAAGCAGCCUCCAAACCAAUCUUUACAGGUUGCAGCCUGGGAUGCAAAUCUUGUCACUCCUCACAAACGCAUGGGGAAUGCAGGUGUUGAUCUAGAGUGGCUCUGUGAUGGAGAUGUGCAUGAAAUAUUGGUUGAGUUGGAAGGAAUGGGUGGUGGCGGAAAGGUUCAGAUGGAGGUAAAAUAUAAAAGCUAUGAUGAAAUUGAUGAAGAGAAAAGGUGGUGGAAGAUACCUUUUGUUUUAGACUUUUUAAAGAUAAAAGGUUUUGAUUCUGCAUUCAGAAAGGUUAUUGGCUCUGAUACAGUACAGGCCCGCCAAUUUGUGGAAUAUGCAUUUGGGCAGUUAAAGUCUUUUAACAAUUCAUAUCUUCUAAAGGGCCGGAAGUCUGAUAUUAAUAAUGAUGAGUACGACAGUGAAGCUACAGGGGAACUGACUGAAUCUGCUUCUAUAUCCAAUAUUCCUUCCAUCGAAGCUGGUAGUUCAGAAGCCUCCAAUGAGGCUAGCAGGGAACAGAGGAACUCAAAGGAAUUUAUCAAACAUGACAAUGAUACUGAAAAUGGACAUGCUUCUGAAUUGCCAGCAAAAGUUAGUGAAGAAGAAUUAUCAAAUAAAAUUUUUUGGAGGAAUUUUGCUAAUGUUGUUAAUUCUAGUAUCGCUCAAAAGUUAGGUCUCUCUGUUUCAGAGAAAUUUAAGUGGGAUGGAUUGGAGUUUUUAAACAAAAUUGGCUCACAAUCUCAAAAUAUUGCAGAAAGCAUUUAUGUUCAAUCUGGUCUUGCAAUGCCUGGCAACACAGAUGAUAUGAAUGAUGAAACAAGUGGCCAACCUGCCAUUACUGUGUUUCAGUCUUCACUUCCUGAGGUUAAAAAAGCGACACAAAAUUUGAUGAGGCAGACUGAGUCAAUUUUAGGAGGUUUGAUGCUUUUGACUGCAACAGUUUCCAAAAUAAAAGAUGAAGGGGGUUCAUCAGAAGAGAGGAAAGUGAAAGAAGAUUAUACUAAAGCAGGAGACAAGGACAUCCAAUAUUCCAGUAGUCAGAAGUUUCCCAACUCACAGAGUGGUGUAGUGCUGGAUGAUAAAAUAACUGAAGAGAUGAAAGAACUUUUUUCUACUGCUGAAAGUGCCGUGGAGGCUUGGGCAAUGCUGGCCACUUCCCUGGGCCAACCUAGUUUUAUUAAGUCGGAGUUUGAAAAAUUAUGCUUCUUAGAUAAUGCAUCCACAGACACACAGGUUGCAAUUUGGCGUGAUUCUGCACGAAGAAGGUUGGUGGUUGCUUUUAGGGGAACAGAACAGUCUCAAUGGAAGGACUUAAGAACUGAUCUAAUGCUUGUGCCAGCCGGGCUAAAUCCUGAAAGGAUAGGUGGAGAUUUCAAGCAAGAGAUUCAAGUCCACAGCGGUUUUCUAAGUGCAUAUGAUUCAGUAAGGACCAGGAUCAUUUCUCUUAUUCGGCUUGCAAUCGGUUAUGUAGAUGAUCAUGCUAAGUCACUUCACAAAUGGCAUGUUUAUGUGACUGGUCAUAGUUUAGGUGGUGCAUUGGCAACCCUGCUUGCACUUGAACUUUCAUCCAAUCAAUUAACAAAGCAAGGAGCAAUUUCUAUUACUAUGUACAACUUUGGUUCUCCUAGGGUUGGUAACAAAAGAUUUGCGGAAGUUUACAAUGAGAAAGUUAAAGAUAGCUGGCGGGUUGUGAAUCACAGAGAUAUUAUACCUACAGUUCCUCGGUUAAUGGGUUAUUGUCAUGUUGAGCGACCUGUAUUUCUUGCUGCAGGGGUUUUAGGAAAUGCUCUAGAAAACAAAGAUAUUUUGGGAGAUGGUUAUGAAGGUGAUGUUCUUGGGGAAUCAACACCCGAUGUUAUAGUCAGUGAAUUCUUGAAGGGUGAGAAGGAACUUAUUGAGAAGUUGUUGCAAACUGAAAUAAAUAUAUUUCGCUCAAUCAGAGAUGGAAGUGCUUUGAUGCAGCAUAUGGAGGAUUUCUAUUACAUCACGUUACUAGAGAAUGUAAGAUCAAAUUACCAAGCAGUCCCAAGGUCAGAACAAGAUCAAAACUAUAGUUUAUAAUGAUCCAAGAAGGGUUUGCUGUGCCUGGCUAACUUCAGUCUCCGGUACCCAAUACUUGAUAAAGUUGUAUAGGUGUUGAGAAGAGUAUACAUGUACAUUUGAGAUCGCUUGCAGCCAAUUCUUUUCUGCCAAGGAAAUGGAAGCUAUGCAGUAUGUCCUAUAUAUUUUGCAAACGGAACCGACAAGAAAUGGUGAAGAACAAAAAUUCUUAACAACUUCUGUUGUUUAAGUAUUAUAUUUAUUUGGCUUGUGAAAAUGUUAUAGCAUGCAUGUCAAAUAUUCAAAGACAUAUCUAAUCCUUGUUCUGAUCUCAAGAAUCUAUAGCCUCGUGCAGAAUGUAAUUUAUGUUGUAAAUAUGCAUAUACAAACAUUUUAUGUUCAAGAUUCAGUUAUUGUGGUUGGGCAACUCAAUUUUUUAUAGAUUGAUUUGCAUUGCUUGUUUUUGUUU